rnacentral:rRNA from 1 species
GUACGCUUCUUUUUCCACCGGAGCUUGCUCCACCGGAAAAAGAAGAGUGGCGAACGGGUGAGUAACACGUGGGUAACCUGCCCAUCAGAAGGGGAUAACACUUGGAAACAGGUGCUAAUACCGUAUAACAAUCGAAACCGCAUGGUUUUGAUUUGAAAGGCGCUUUCGGGUGUCGCUGAUGGAUGGACCCGCGGUGCAUUAGCUAGUUGGUGAGGUAACGGCUCACCAAGGCCACGAUGCAUAGCCGACCUGAGAGGGUGAUCGGCCACAUUGGGACUGAGACACGGCCCAAACUCCUACGGGAGGCAGCAGUAGGGAAUCUUCGGCAAUGGACGAAAGUCUGACCGAGCAACGCCGCGUGAGUGAAGAAGGUUUUCGGAUCGUAAAACUCUGUUGUUAGAGAAGAACAAGGAUGAGAGUAACUGUUCAUCCCUUGACGGUAUCUAACCAGAAAGCCACGGCUAACUACGUGCCAGCAGCCGCGGUAAUACGUAGGUGGCAAGCGUUGUCCGGAUUUAUUGGGCGUAAAGCGAGCGCAGGCGGUUUCUUAAGUCUGAUGUGAAAGCCCCCGGCUCAACCGGGGAGGGUCAUUGGAAACUGGGAGACUUGAGUGCAGAAGAGGAGAGUGGAAUUCCAUGUGUAGCGGUGAAAUGCGUAGAUAUAUGGAGGAACACCAGUGGCGAAGGCGGCUCUCUGGUCUGUAACUGACGCUGAGGCUCGAAAGCGUGGGGGAGCAAACAGGAUUAGAUACCCUGGUAGUCCACGCCGUAAACGAUGAGUGCUAAGUGUUGGAGGGUUUCCGCCCUUCAGUGCUGCAGCUAACGCAU